AAGGGUAUCAGGUCCCAUGUGUUGCAGACAUACAUGCAGACAAACGACCCAAUCACAUAAAAUAAAAGUAAAAAAAAAAAAAAAAAAAAAAAAAAAAAAGACAAACAAAAAACAAAGUUAUCUCCACGAACCUUGAUGUCUUGGAAAUAUAGAUGGGGUGGAUAAGGAUGGGGAACAACUAAUGGUCUUGAAAAUCUGACCCGGCACAGAGAUGAUCCAGAAUGAAAAACUUUAACUUUAAUGAGUUUCUGUUCCCAGACAUGUCCACACUGACUUUCUAGCAAUUACAGUAUUAGUUUUCUCCCUCAAACGCUGGCUUCCAUGAAGAUUUCUGCCUGUGACUUCCUGGUAUGAGGAGACUUGUAGCAGAUGUGGAAAGCUUGGAAAAUAUAGUGGAUCAAAGACAGGGAGGAAAGCCGCUCAUCCCUAAGACCAAGCUUUCUGCCAAAAUGGAACUUGUGAGAAGAGCAACUUGAAGGAGAACAAACUUCUCUCACUUCAGCCCAGGUCCAACUGUCUGCAUUGCCUUUAGGCCUGUGACAAGACAGGAACAUCAGGGAAGAAGAACGUGGUGAAAGACUGCUUCCCACCUCAUGGCAGACAUGAAACAGAGAGAGAAGAAUCUACCAUCAAAAUACGCCCUUUAAAUACACGAUCACCGUGAUCUACUGCUGCGACUAAGUCCCACCAUCAGUAGCUCAUUCGGACUUGGAAUACUCCAUUCACCAAUGGAUUGGCCCCCUUAUGAUCCAACACUCUUUGGGUCAACAGCUGGGGUCAAGUUCCUAAAACACGAUGCCCUGUGAGACGUCCCUCAAUGUAUAACAUUACACCUUGGCUCUCGAAGGUUUAUCUCACAAUGAAGCUGAAAAUUGUCUUUUCAAGAGCUAUGAAGCAUUGUGUUGGCCAUAAAAUCAUUGCUCAGCUUAACAGGCAAGCUUUCUCAGAGUCCAGAAUUAAUUAAAAUAGACUGUAAUAAUAGGAGUUCAACCUGCUGUAGGACAGUUGCCCAUGCUGGUUAUUUCAUGUUGUCCAGCAAAAAGGGCUUGUUUAAGGAAAAAUAAACAAAAUUACAUCA